rnacentral:lncRNA from 1 species
UGAGACCGGGCUGGGAUCAUCCCGAUGGGAUUUGGGGAAGUUUGGGGAGGAUUUGGGGGGAAUUUUGUGGGAUUUGGGGGGGGGGCUGAGCCCCCAGGACGUGCCGGGAACAUCCCAAUGGGAUUUCUGGGAAAUUGGGGAAGAUUUGGGGCAUUUCCCUGUUCUUCCUGGUUUUUUCCCUGUUUGUCCUGAUUUUCCCUCUGUUUUUCCCAGUUUUUUCCUGGUUUUUCCCACUUAUCCCCACUUUUCCACCAUUUCCCCCAGAUUCUCCAGGUUUUUCCUGUUGUUUCCCAGUUUUCCUCAGUUUUUACCAUUUUUUCCCAGUAUUCCCCAAAUUUUUCCCAGAUUUUCCAGCUGUUUCUCCAGCUUUCCUGUUUUUUCCCAGUAUUCCCCCAUUUUUCCCAGAUUUCCCAGUUUUUCCAGCUGUUUCUCCAGCUUUCCUGUUUUUUCCCAGUAUUCCCCCAUUUUUCCCAGGUUUUUCUCCAGCUUUCCUGUUUUCCUCCAGUUUUUCCCUUUUUUUUUUUCCCCAUUUUUCCUGGGUUUUCCCCAUUUUUCCCGGGGGAAGAAUUCCAGAGGCGGCCCCGGCCGAUCCCAGGCUUUGUUGGCUCCGACAUUCCCGGGAAUUUCCCCCCCAAGGUCCGGGAACCGCUCCACGCGCGUCCGCUCCAGCCGCCGCAGCUGCUCCGCCCCGCGACGCUCCACCGUCACCGAGCGCACCGUGGGGUUAGACCGGGCUUAGACCGGGCUUAAACUGGGGUUAAACUGGGACUGAACUGGGGCUGAACCGGGAUGAACUGGGGCUGAACUGGGAUUGAACUGGGGUUACACCGGGAGUUAAACUGGGAACUGGGAGCGCGCUGCUCCGCCCCGCGCCGCUCCACCGGCACCGAGCGCACCUGGGGUUAGACCGGGUUUAGACCAGGCUCAGACCGGGCUUAAACCUGGGCUUAAACUGGGACUGAACUGGGGCUGAACUGGGAUUGAACUGGGGUUACACCGGGAGUUAAACUGGGAACUGGGAGCACGCUGCUCCGCCGCUCCACCGGCACCGAGCGCGCCUGGGGUUAAACCGGGUUUAGACCGGGAUUAAACCGGGUUUAGCACAGGCAUUAAACCGGGGUUAAACCGGGAGUGAACUGGGAUAGAACAAGGAGUUAAACUGGGAACUGGGAGUGUGCUGCUCCGCCGCCCGCUGCUCCACCGGCACCGAGAGCACCUGGGGUUAAACCAGGGCUUAAACUGGACCUAAACCAGGGUUAAACUGGGCUUAAACCGAGCUUAAACUGGGGAUUAAACCGAGUUUAGACUGGGAUUGAACCGGGGUUAAAGUGGGAAUUAGACUGAGGAUUAAACCAGGAAUUGAAGUGGGCGCUGCUCCGCCGCUCCACCGGCACCAAACGCAGCGGGGACAAGGGGUUAAACCAGGACUAAACCAGGAUUAAACCAGGAUUAAACCGGGAUUAACGGGAGUUAAACUGGGAAUUACACUGGGAAUUACAUCAAUUAUACUGGGAAAACCAGGAAUUGAACUGGGAAUUAAACCAGGAAUUGGGAGGGCACUGCUCCGCCGUCACCCGGGGGCACCUGGGAUUAAACUGGGGUUAAACUGGGAUUAACGGGAGUUGAACUGGGAACUGGGAGUGCGCUGCUCCAGUGGUGGGGAUUAAACCGGGGUUAAACCGGGAUUAACCCGGGAAUUGGGACUGCACCGCUCCGCUAUCACGGAGAGCACCUGGGAAACAGG